UGGGGAAUAUUGGACAAUGGGGGAAACCCUGAUCCAGCAAUGCCGCGUGAGCGAUGAAGGCCUUAGGGUUGUAAAGCUCUUUUACCAGGGAUGAUAAUGACAGUACCUGGAGAAUAAGCCCCGGCUAACUCCGUGCCAGCAGCCGCGGUAAUACGGAGGGGGCUAGCGUUGUUCGGAAUCACUGGGCGUAAAGCGCACGUAGGCGGCGAUCCAAGUCAGGGGUGAAAGCCCGGGGCUCAACCCCGGAAUUGCCCUUGAGACUGGAUUGCUAGAAUCAUGGAGAGGUGAGUGGAAUUCCGAGUGUAGAGGUGAAAUUCGUAGAUAUUCGGAAGAACACCAGUGGCGAAGGCGGCUCACUGGACAUGUAUUGACGCUGAGGUGCGAAAGCGUGGGGAGCAAA
rnacentral:rRNA from 1 species